CGAACGCUGGCGGCGCGUCUUAAGCAUGCAAGUCGAGCGGUAAGAUUGGUGCUUGCACUAAUCCUAGAGCGGCGGACUGGUGAGUAACGCGUGGGUGACGUACCUCUGUGACGGGGACAGCUCCUAGAAAUAGGAGAUAAUACCCGGAUACGCUGUGUGCUGUCAGAGGGCACACAGGAAAGGAUCUUUUGAUUCGCACAGAGAGCGGCCCGCGUACUAUUAGCUAGUUGGUGAGGUAACGGCCCACCAAGGCGACGAUAGUUACCCGGCCUAAGAGGGUGAUCGGGCACAUUGGGACUGAGAUACGGCCCAGACUCCUACGGGAGGCAGCAGCUAAGAAUAUUCCGCAAUGGACGAAAGUCUGACGGAGCGACGCCGCGUGGAUGAUGAAAGGCCGGAAGGUUGUAAAAUCCUUUUAUGACUGAGGAAUAAGGUGGAUGAGAGAAACGUCCGCUGGUGACUGUAGGUCAUGAAUAAGCAACGGCUAAUUACGUGCCAGCCGCGGC
rnacentral:rRNA from 1 species